AACGUUACCAGACCGAUAACGGUA
rnacentral:siRNA from 1 species